rnacentral:tRNA from 1 species
ACCUGGGUGGCUCAGUCGGUUGAGUGUCUGACUUCGGCUCAGGUCAUGAUCUCACGGUUCGUGGGUUCAAGUCUCACAUCAGGCU